rnacentral:tRNA from 1 species
GACUAGAUAGUAAAAUUGGUAUUGCGAAAGAUUGCAAAUCUUAAAAUUAUUGGUUCAAAUCCAAUUCUAGUCU